rnacentral:rRNA from 1 species
UACGAAGGGGGCUAGCGUUGCUCGGAAUUACUGGGCGUAAAGGGCUCGUAGGCGGCCAACUAAGUCCGACGUGAAAUCCCCAGGCUUAACCUGGGAACUGCGUCGGAUACUGGGAGGCUUGAAUCCGGGAGAGGGAUGCAGAAUUCCAGGUGUAGCGGUGAAAUGCGUAGAUAUCUGGAGGAAUACCGGUGGCGAAGGCGGCAUCCUGGACCGGCAUUGACGCUGAGGAGCGAAAGCCAGGGGAGCAAACGGG